rnacentral:rRNA from 1 species
ACGUAGGAACAGAUGCUAAUACCGGAUACAACAGAUGAUGCCUAUCAACUGUUUAAAGAUGGUUCUGCUAUCACUCUUGGAUGGACCUGCGGUGCAUUAGCUAGUUGGUAGGUAACGGCCUACCAAGGCGAUGAUGCAUAGCCGAGUUGAGAGACUGAUCGGCCACAUUGGGACUGAGACACGGCCCAAACUCCUACGGGAGGCAGCAGUAGAGAAUCUUCCACAAUGGACGCAAGUCUGAUGGAGCAACGCCGCGUGAGUGAAGAAGGGUUUCGGCUCGUAAAGCUCUGUUGUUGGUGAAGAAGGACAGGGGUAGUAACUGACCUUUGUUUGACGGUAAUCAAUUAGAAAGUCACGGCUAACUACGUGCCAGCAGCCGCGGUAAAU